CCUUUUUACACAUAAUUGGCCACAGUUAUCAUCAGUCUUCAGUCGCUCUGCGGCCACGCAUCCAUGCAUUCACUUCCAAUUUCUGCUGCACUGAAAUGCUUUUCCCACUGUCAUGAAAUAUUUCCCUGUAUUCAUGUUCUUUGAAAAGCUGGGGGGAAAAAUUGAACCAAGAGGGCCUUGAAAUUCUUACAGUAAGCUGCCCCACUUGUUUAUGCUGCCUCAGUGGUCCCUGCCCAGCGGUGGUUAUGUUCAACAUCAGCGACCAUCAGUGGAGUGUGGCCACUGACCAAUCGGAAUGGAUGCCAAUUAUACGCAGACAGUUCAGGAGCGUGCCAUCUGAACCUCAGCUCUGUGCCUGGAGUCUUUUUCGUCGCUGCCCCAGUGGGCUUCUCUAGCUCUCUGGACAUUAUUCCCUGCUGCAUCCUCCCUUCUUCCUAGAACAUCAGGGCAUCGGGGGUGCCAUCUAGCACAUGCUCCGGAGGACACUUACAGUAUCCUGGGGCACAGGGAAAACCAAACCCUUUUCUGUUUCUCCUUUUCAGCAAAAGAACAGAGAUGCUACCUCAGCCCUGCUGUCUGGUCUUUGGACGUGAGUGUACAUGGAGCUGGUCCUAAGAAAGCCCACACUUGUGUUGCACAGCGCAAUUCACACAGCUCACUCCCAGGACUCCACUUCCUCAUACCAACCUUUCUAAGGAGAGGAAAGGAAUCAAGCCCAUUCUGCAGAGGAGGACCAGUGAAGUUCAAGAAAAGUGUGAUGUCAAGUCAGAAGGAGAGCACAGAUUUCCUGAACUUUGCUCUAGCUGAACAUCUGAGGGGGAAAACAAAACACCCACCCCUCCAGGAGAGUGGCCUUUUGGGAAUUCCACAGCAAGUGUCUGGCUGUAACAGGAGACAUCAGAGCAGUAUGGGCAGUGGUGGGACCAUGCGAGAGGAAAGUAGCCUCUCAGGAAGAGGGAAAAAUUGAAGAGGAUUGGACUUAUGCCUGAACCAUCACCCACCUGAUUCAGCUUGUGAGGUGAGGAGGGAAGGGGUCCUUCUCAGCACAUAAUUAAUUGAGAAAUCCUUGCGCUCCCUCCAGGGUUACAGAUGAGGCCUAGCAAUCAUCAAAGCUGCCUGAGCUAAUUUCAAGUUCAAAUUCCACAGGAAGAAGGGAUGGGCUGGGGUCAUCCAGACCUAGACCUACAGCAUUUGUUUAUUAAACUUAAUUUUCAAAAAUAAAAUAGCAGAAACACACCA
rnacentral:lncRNA from 12 species